GCCGACCGUUUCCCUGACAAGUUGACACCAAAGCCACCAUUGUCAAAGUCGCCGUUGGCCGGCGUUGCCACUGGUCGCUGCUCCACGCAUCUUGUCGGUGCUGCGAGGCGAUGCCAUCUGCAUCUGUUGCUGCAGCCUGGGAGGUGGCAGGGUCUCAAGGUAUGCACACUGCUCACGCCCAUACCCACGGCUGUAGCGUCGCUCUGCUGCAUGAAUCAUUCCAUCAGGCUGCUAAUUCCAACCACCUCUUCCGAUUUUGCGAAGGUGAUGCCCUCUUUGCUGCCCAAUGCCAUAGGACGAGAUCCUCUGCUGCUGCUGUGUCUGGUGGUUGAAGAAGGGGUGUGUUGGGAAGAGAAGGCAGUGUUGAGAGUGCUAGAUCUGGAACAGGACGAGCUUGGGCUGCAUCGGUGUGUUUGCUGCUGCUGAAUUUGCGAACUACUACUGCUCCCUAUAGCGUUAUUACAUUUGGCUUCGUGCUUUACCAACGACCUCUCCUUCUAGACCUGGCUACGCAGGUCAUCGGAGACGGAGAGGAUAGUGGAGUAUAUAGGAAGUACUUUGUUUUAUGUGUGUGGCUAAUGGGUUGAUUCCAUUUUAUGCAGGCUCUGGUUCUCAACCUCCAACAUGAGUCCCUUUCUUCCGUGCCUCGAACGCCACGAGUCAUCAUGGGCACUGCAGAUGCGGAGGAGUUUUACCCGGGCGAUCUGAUUGUUCCCGGCCGCGCUGGUGUCAACUACCUCGAGCCACUAUGACCAUCCCAACCACGCUCACCCCCCUGUAAGUCAUGUGUUUCUCCUACCAGAUCAAAACAAUUGUCAAUUUUUGGAGUACAGUUGUGUAUCAGAUCCGUUCAUGAUUGAAAUCGUGGUCCCCUAAACAUGUGAUUUGUGAAAUAUUUAGGAACGAAUUGUUUGUGGAUCUGCAAAGGGGGAUUCAAUUAAUUUUCAGUUGUAGAAAAGGGAGAAGGGGGAUUCAAUUAAUUUUCCUCCUCAAGAUCAAAGAAACAAAAUCUUUGUGGCGAUGAUAGAAGGGGUUCACGACUUCACGUUAAUACACAGACUAUUGGUAAGGGCAUUAAAACAUAUAUCUGGUGUGAAAUGGUCGUACAUGCUUGAUUAGAAUAUUUUCAAGUGUUGUAGGUGUACGGCUGUGGGGAAACAUUUUCAUGGUCUAAUUUUCUAAUUAAUGUAUGCACGAGACAUGAAUCUUGGAUUCUAAACUUUUUCCUCGAUGUUUGGGCUUCCUCUAACUUUCCGUAUAUUGCACACAACACAACACAUAGAUUCAUGUCUUCCAUGCUUGCUGUCUUGUAACAAACAGAUGUUGGGAUGGAUACUAAUUUUCUAAAUGAUUUGAACUCAUGUUGUUUUCUAUUCUACUGUCAUUGGUUCAUCAUUCUGAACCAUUCAAUUGUUGGAACUCCGGCAUAUAUUGGUCCUGAAGUUAUGCUGAAGAAAGAAUAUGACACAAGCUACGAUCCAUCCUAUUUUGUGCUUUAAACGGUCUGCUGCAUACUCUGCCAUCUGCUGCAUAACUUAAUUCUGUUUGCUCGGCCAUAAAAGCCUUACUUGAUUUCUGAAUCUUCCAUUCACCUUUCGUUGUCAUGAGUGGUGAAUGGUCUUGAGGAGUAACCAUUUAGAUACUGUAUGUUUUUUUGCUCAAACACGAUCUCGACAUUGAUAAUAGCAGAGAGAUAAUAUACGCCUUAUAAUCUUGUAACUGUAGAAAAAAGUAUAGAUAACCCCCAGAAGUAUCCUGUUUGGAUCACAUAACCCCCCCAUGUUUAAAACCGAGUUCUUAAUCCCCUGAACUAUUCUAAACCAGACAUAUCACCCCCUGGCACCCACUUAAGUAGUUUGGGACGGUGGUUUUGCGGUUUUGCAUAUGUGGCACUUGGGCUGGGCCCAUCGACCGGCCACGUCGGACUGGGCCUGCUGGGUGCGGUCUAAAUGACGCCUUCGAGCAGGUUCGACCCAGACUCGGCCUCUUCGCCUCCCAAUUUAGCGUGAGCUUUUUAAUUUUUCAGCAGUGUACUACAGCAAAUUGUUGAUCAUUAUAUUGUUCUGUAUGCAAUGCUAUGUUAAAGAAGGAAACUUUUGACAACAAAUAUUUUAUGACUGUACUAUUCUGUAUGGAAUGGUGUGUUGCAAGAUAUUUUAUCAGAAGUGUACAUAUUAUUGGCAUCAAAUUCAAAAAUAGACAGCAAAUUUCCAUAGCAUUGAAGAUCUUAAAUUCACACAAUAAGUUCCAUGGAAUACUCAGGUUCAACCUGAUAAAAGCUACAGGUCUUUGACAUGCAAAACUCCACAAACGACACUUAAUUGUCAAGGAAUUUGAUGUUUCACAUCAAAUAAAAGCACACACUUCUAUCUGGUGUUACACAUCAACUACGUGGCAUUGAAAAACAAUCUGGGCAUUCACUUUUUCCCAGUGAGAAGUCAUUCUAGCCUGUUAUUUCUUUGCACUUGCAUCUGCUGUGAGCUUGAAGAAGCCCUGUUGUGAAUGCCCAGAUUGUAUGUGCAUCUGCUGUGAGCUUGAAGAAGCACUUGCAUCAACUACGUAACUGUAUGUGCAGAAGUAGUUGUGGUGUUCCUUCCACCUUAUGAAUUAGUCUGUGAAGAGGUGAACAGUCAGGAGCCCCAUGGAGCCAAACAAACAUUAUGUUCAAGCUACAGAUUAUAUUCAUACUACAGCUUGAGUCUGAAUUUGUAUUGAUACACGAAAAUGUCAUGUGUGCCAAGAAAAGUAUGUUAGCUGUACAAUCAAUUUUGGCGUGCAUUUCUUAUUUAUUUUUGAGUCGGACGUGUGCAUUUCUAAUUAGAAGUAGAAGAAGAAAGAUGUGACACGGACUUCCUAAGAUCACAUACACAUAGUUGAAUAGUAUAAUUAGAAUAAUAAUAAUAAAAUUCAAAAAGCUUAUUUAUUUUGGCUACAAAUUUGCUGGAGUGUUAUAGAUGUGCAUACCAUUUUGUGAAGGAAUAACAUAAAUGGUGGUCGGGAUAAACGAAAAUUGAUCAUUUUUUAAGCUUCUUGGAGCAUCGAUUUUGUUUAAUAUUGUGCAAAGCAUCACAAAUAUUUUUUCUUCAUGAAAUUUUGCACAUAACCAAAAAAAUGUAAUUUUGUUGGGGAGCAGGAUUGGACAUCUGAUGUAAGAUAAAGAUAUAAGUACUGUUAGACAUGAGACCUACUCGCGCACAAGUCAAUCUCAACAUGCAUCUUGUUGUUCCGUGCAAGGCACGGGCAUCUUACUAGUGUUAUCCUAAAAUUAGCUAACUGUGGCUCAUAUUGUUUUCCCCAGGUAGCUCAUGGCGAGUCAUGCGUGAGCCGUCUCGAUCCUUUUGCUAUGUUAUUAUAUUUUAGCCAUGAAGGAUUUACUGCUUGUCAGUUCGUAGUGGUUCCGGCUGUUUGUUGAACUUCUGUUCUUGCUUGUGCUAUUUUUUUUACUGUUUAGAUGGCUCAAUUUACUUCCAAUUUUACUCUUGAGUUUUCCCAUACAUGCAUACUCUUAUACCCCUCCUACUUGCUUGUUGGUUCUAUGCUCUACCUUUGUGAGGUGUAAUUGUUCAAUUUUAUUCAGAGUCGAGCAUUGGAUGAUAUUGUAUUUGUCAUGAUGUACAUGGUUCAUGAACUAUGCCAACCUGCAGCUUUGUUGUACUAGUGAUAGUAGGAUAAUGCAAGUUUUGACAAUCCAUGCCUAUUUCCGCAUCAUAAUAAUCUUCUUCUAGUCUUCUUCUAGUCUUUUUCUUCUAACUUUCUUCUUUCCCAUUUUACAGAUUUGCUUAAGAUGACGGAAGCUUGGGUUGAUGGAGUACUUGUAUUUAGUUUUUGUUUUGACGUUGUGAAACUUGCUACCUAUGGAUGAAAUUGUGUAAUAUUGAUGAAACUAUGUAUUUGUACGGAUGAAACUUGCUACUAUUGAUAACAUGUGUUGGAUAUAUAUGUGUUCAUGACUAUUGGUAAUAUGUGUUGAAUAUGCUAUAUUGGUCAUAUAAAUAUAAUUGUGUUUGAUUUUCUGUGAAAAGGAACUGAUAUAAGAAAAAUCAAAAUUAAAUGGGGC
rnacentral:lncRNA from 1 species